rnacentral:misc_RNA from 1 species
GGACAAUCACAUGCCUCCAUGCGAACUGAAUGCAUAGCGAAAUUUAGAAACAAAGACUGAUCUGCACAUUUUGGUGGGUUAUUGUUUCUUCUGAUCAAUUUCUCCCCCUCUUCGAUAUCAGGCCCUGUAUUUAAAACUAGUGUCUUGCCAACACGAUGUACUGCAAUUGAUAAUCGAGCCUUGGAGUAUGGAAUCUUAAAGAUUUGCUUCAGAAUAUCAGUUGGGGCAAUGACAUCGAUCUCCUCUCCGUAAUCCACCAGACCUGAUACAGC